rnacentral:lncRNA from 1 species
AUAAACUUCCAAUUUCUUCAAUUAGGCCCCUUAACCGAAUAAUUGCAGCCCCUCCAUUUACGCGCCUCUUUCAAUUUGGUCCCUGGUUUCGGAUUUUCUUAAUUAAGUCCCUAAUUGGCCAUUAAACUUCAAUAUUUAUGCAAUUAAGCCCCUGAUUUGACCCAAUAAAUUCCUAAAAAAUAUAUUUUGGCCCCAGAACUUAAAUUUCU